UUAAGCGACUAAGCGUACACGGUGGAUGCCCUGGCAGUCAGAGGCGAUGAAGGACGUGCUAAUCUGCGAUAAGCGUCGGUAAGGUGAUAUGAACCGUUAUAACCGGCGAUUUCCGAAUGGGGAAACCCAGUGUGUUUCGACACACUAUCAUUAACUGAAUCCAUAGGUUAAUGAGGCGAACCGGGGGAACUGAAACAUCUAAGUACCCCGAGGAAAAGAAAUCAACCGAGAUUCCCCCAGUAGCGGCGAGCGAACGGGGAGCAGCCCAGAGCCUGAAUCAGUGUGUGUGUUAGUGGAAGCGUCUGGAAAGGCGCGCGAUACAGGGUGACAGCCCCGUACACAAAAAUGCACAUGCUGUGAGCUCGAUGAGUAGGGCGGGACACGUGGUAUCCUGUCUGAAUAUGGGGGGACCAUCCUCCAAGGCUAAAUACUCCUGACUGACCGAUAGUGAACCAGUACCGUGAGGGAAAGGCGAAAAGAACCCCGGCGAGGGGAGUGAAAAAGAACCUGAAACCGUGUACGUACAAGCAGUGGGAGCACAGAGCAAUCUGUGUGACUGCGUACCUUUUGUAUAAUGGGUCAGCGACUUAUAUUCUGUAGCAAGGUUAACCGAAUAGGGGAGCCGAAGGGAAACCGAGUCUUAACUGGGCGUUAAGUUGCAGGGUAUAGACCCGAAACCCGGUGAUCUAGCCAUGGGCAGGUUGAAGGUUGGGUAACACUAACUGGAGGACCGAACCGACUAAUGUUGAAAAAUUAGCGGAUGACUUGUGGCUGGGGGUGAAAGGCCAAUCAAACCGGGAGAUAGCUGGUUCUCCCCGAAAGCUAUUUAGGUAGCGCCUCGUGAAUUCAUCUCCGGGGGUAGAGCACUGUUUCGGCAAGGGGGUCAUCCCGACUUACCAACCCGAUGCAAACUGCGAAUACCGGAGAAUGUUAUCACGGGAGACACACGGCGGGUGCUAACGUCCGUCGUGAAGAGGGAAACAACCCAGACCGCCAGCUAAGGUCCCAAAGUCAUGGUUAAGUGGGAAACGAUGUGGGAAGGCCCAGACAGCCAGGAUGUUGGCUUAGAAGCAGCCAUCAUUUAAAGAAAGCGUAAUAGCUCACUGGUCGAGUCGGCCUGCGCGGAAGAUGUAACGGGGCUAAACCAUGCACCGAAGCUGCGGCAGCGACGCUUAUGCGUUGUUGGGUAGGGGAGCGUUCUGUAAGCCUGUGAAGGUGUACUGUGAGGUAUGCUGGAGGUAUCAGAAGUGCGAAUGCUGACAUAAGUAACGAUAAAGCGGGUGAAAAGCCCGCUCGCCGGAAGACCAAGGGUUCCUGUCCAACGUUAAUCGGGGCAGGGUGAGUCGACCCCUAAGGCGAGGCCGAAAGGCGUAGUCGAUGGGAAACAGGUUAAUAUUCCUGUACUUGGUGUUACUGCGAAGGGGGGACGGAGAAGGCUAUGUUGGCCGGGCGACGGUUGUCCCGGUUUAAGCGUGUAGGCUGGUUUUCCAGGCAAAUCCGGAAAAUCAAGGCUGAGGCGUGAUGACGAGGCACUACGGUGCUGAAGCAACAAAUGCCCUGCUUCCAGGAAAAGCCUCUAAGCAUCAGGUAACAUCAAAUCGUACCCCAAACCGACACAGGUGGUCAGGUAGAGAAUACCAAGGCGCUUGAGAGAACUCGGGUGAAGGAACUAGGCAAAAUGGUGCCGUAACUUCGGGAGAAGGCACGCUGAUAUGUAGGUGAAGUCCCUCGCGGAUGGAGCUGAAAUCAGUCGAAGAUACCAGCUGGCUGCAACUGUUUAUUAAAAACACAGCACUGUGCAAACACGAAAGUGGACGUAUACGGUGUGACGCCUGCCCGGUGCCGGAAGGUUAAUUGAUGGGGUUAGCGCAAGCGAAGCUCUUGAUCGAAGCCCCGGUAAACGGCGGCCGUAACUAUAACGGUCCUAAGGUAGCGAAAUUCCUUGUCGGGUAAGUUCCGACCUGCACGAAUGGCGUAAUGAUGGCCAGGCUGUCUCCACCCGAGACUCAGUGAAAUUGAACUCGCUGUGAAGAUGCAGUGUACCCGCGGCAAGACGGAAAGACCCCGUGAACCUUUACUAUAGCUUGACACUGAACAUUGAGCCUUGAUGUGUAGGAUAGGUGGGAGGCUUUGAAGUGUGGACGCCAGUCUGCAUGGAGCCGACCUUGAAAUACCACCCUUUAAUGUUUGAUGUUCUAACGUUGACCCGUAAUCCGGGUUGCGGACAGUGUCUGGUGGGUAGUUUGACUGGGGCGGUCUCCUCCUAAAGAGUAACGGAGGAGCACGAAGGUUGGCUAAUCCUGGUCGGACAUCAGGAGGUUAGUGCAAUGGCAUAAGCCAGCUUGACUGCGAGCGUGACGGCGCGAGCAGGUGCGAAAGCAGGUCAUAGUGAUCCGGUGGUUCUGAAUGGAAGGGCCAUCGCUCAACGGAUAAAAGGUACUCCGGGGAUAACAGGCUGAUACCGCCCAAGAGUUCAUAUCGACGGCGGUGUUUGGCACCUCGAUGUCGGCUCAUCACAUCCUGGGGCUGAAGUAGGUCCCAAGGGUAUGGCUGUUCGCCAUUUAAAGUGGUACGCGAGCUGGGUUUAGAACGUCGUGAGACAGUUCGGUCCCUAUCUGCCGUGGGCGCUGGAGAACUGAGGGGGGCUGCUCCUAGUACGAGAGGACCGGAGUGGACGCAUCACUGGUGUUCGGGUUGUCAUGCCAAUGGCACUGCCCGGUAGCUAAAUGCGGAAGAGAUAAGUGCUGAAAGCAUCUAAGCACGAAACUUGCCCCGAGAUGAGUUCUCCCUGACUCCUUGAGAGUCCUGAAGGAACGUUGAAGACGACGACGUUGAUAGGCCGGGUGUGUAAGCGCAGCGAUGCGUUGAGCUAACCGGUACUAAUGAACCGUGAGGCUUAACCUU
rnacentral:rRNA from 1 species